rnacentral:rRNA from 1 species
UACGAAGGGGGCUAGCGUUGUUCGGAUUUACUGGGCGUAAAGCGCACGUAGGCGGUUUGUUAAGUCAGAGGUGAAAUCCCGGAGCUUAACUCCGGAACUGCCUUUGAUACUGGCAAGCUAGAGUCCGGAAGAGGUGAGUGGAACUCCUAGUGUAGAGGUGGAAUUCGUAGAUAUUAGGAAGAACACCAGUGGCGAAGGCGGCUCACUGGUCCGGUACUGACGCUGAGGUGCGAAAGCGUGGGGAGCAAACAGG